UACAGAGGGGGCAAGCGUUGUUCGGAAUUACUGGGCGUAAAGGGCGCGUAGGCGGCCUGUUAAGUCGAACGUGAAAUCCCCGGGCUCAACCCGGGAACUGCGUCCGAUACUGGAAGGCUUGAAUCCGGGAGAGGGAUGCGGAAUUCCAGGUGUAGCGGUGAAAUGCGUAGAUAUCGGGAGGAACACCAGUGGCGAAGGCGACUACCUGGCCUGUUCUUGACGCUGAGGCGCGAAAGCUAGGGGAGCAAACGGG
rnacentral:rRNA from 1 species